UUUAAAAAGUGGGGGUGUGGUGGGAGGACCAAUGACAUUAUUUUAAGUGAGGAUGUGUGAGGAUCAUGAAGAUUUAAGUCUGCUGUGCUAUUUGUCCUGAGUACAUAUGAACUAGGCAGUUUCAGGGCAAGCUGCACUGCCACCUAGUCCCACCCCACCAGUAGGACUCAGUCUUAACAUGAUUGGAGGGAAGACAAGGAAUAAUUUUGCCAGGAUAUGUGCAUGGAAGGGACAUUCUCUAUUAAUUUAUUCUCUCCAUGUACCAGCCUGAGAGAGGCAUUAGCUUCUUCCCACAGCACUGUCCUCCUCUGCCCAUACCCAUGAUGUGUGUUCUAUGGGGCCAGAGAUCCAUGUGGGGGUGGUGACAAGCUGCACUCCAUAAAGGAGCCCCCUAUAACAAACACUGUUUCAAUGGCUCAAUCUAGUUGUAGAACACAAAGUCUUGUUUCUGUUCUUAUUUGGGAUGGGCUGUUACUAGUAAUUCUGGGUAAUGCCUAUGCCCAUAGGACCUUAGGUGCAUUAUUCAUUCAAGAUAAUAUGUCUAAGGAAAAGAAGGAAGCAACUCUCAAACCAAGAACCACACCUGAAUGCACCAGUGACCACCGAUCCUUACCUGGAAAGAAAAGAAAUAAACAUCAGUACCAGAUGAAGUUUCUCUCUCCGUUGGUGUGGGACACAGAGCAGAGAAAGGAAGUAACUGAAGGUAAACCCCCUGUGGAAUAUCAAGUCUGACUAUACCAACUGCUAACAUGUGAUUGAUGGAUGGGCGAUCUGUUCUUGCAAACUGGGAUACCAGGUGGCAGCUGUUGAGAAUGGUGGGGACAUUUGUGUGGACACAGAAACUAUACGAGAUGGCAGUUACUGCAUCCUCAGGCCCUGCCCAGAGGGAUAUGAAUGCCGAGAUAUGGAACACUAUCAGUUUGAUUGCAUCAGAAGAGCCC